rnacentral:tRNA from 1 species
GGGCGAGUGGCGGAACUGGCAGACGCGCUAGCUUUAGGAGCUAGUGAGAGAAAUCUCGUGUGGGUUCAACUCCCUCCUCGCCCA